UGCUGCAUGGUUGUCGUCAGCUCGUGCCGUGAGGUGUCGGGUUAAGUCCCAUAACGAGCGCAACCCUUAUCGUUAGUUGCCAGCUGGUAAAGCAGGGGACUCUAGCGAAACUGCCACCGUAAGGUGAGAGGAAGGUGGGGAUGACGUCAAAUCAGCACGGCCCUUAUGUCCAGGGCUACACACGUGUUACAAUGGCCGGCACAGAGGGCAGCUACCUGGUGACAGGAUGCUAAUCUCGAAAACCGGUCUCAGUUCGGAUCGAAGUCUGCAACUCGACUUCGUGAAGCCGGAUUCGCUAGUAAUCGCGCAUCAGCCAUGGCGCGGUGAAUACGUUCCCGGGCCUU
rnacentral:rRNA from 1 species